rnacentral:rRNA from 1 species
AACGAACGCUGGCGGCAUGCCUAACACAUGCCAGUCGAACGAGACCUUCGGGUCUAGUGGCGCACGGGUGCGUAACGCGUGGGAACCUGCCCUUAGGUUCGGAAUAACUCCCCGAAAGGGGUGCUAAUACCGGAUAAUGUCUUCGGACCAAAGAUUUAUCGCCUUCGGAUGGGCCCGCGUUGGAUUAGCUAGUUGGUAGGGUAAAAGCCUACCAAGGCGACGAUCCAUAGCUGGUCUGAGAGGAUGGUCAGCCACACUGGGACUGAGACACGGCCCAGACUCCUACGGGAGGCAGCAGUGGGGAAUAUUGGACAAUGGGCGAAAGCCUGAUCCAGCAAUGCCGCGUGAGUGAUGAAGGCCUUAGGGUUGUAAAGCUCUUUUACCCGGGAUGAUAAUGACAGUACCGGGAGAAUAAGCUCCGGCUAACUCCGUG